CCGACAAGCUGGGUGGCAAAGCAAGCAUAUAGGCCACCUCCUCAAUCAUCCUAUGUAUCUCAAAAGUUCCAAUGAACCGUGCACUCAGCUUCCCUUUCUUCCCAAACCUCAUAACACCCUUCAUAGGCGAAACCUUCAACAAGACCUUCUUGCCCACCAUAUAAGAUAUAUCUCGAACCUUCCGGUCCACAUAACCCUUCUGACGUGACUGAGCUGUACGAAGUCUCUCCUGGAUCACUUUCACCUUCUCUAAGGCAUCCUAGACCAACUCUGUCCCUAAUAGCCUAGCCUCAUCGGGCUCAAACCAAAAAACCAGGGAUCUACACCGUCUCCCAUAUAAGGCCUCAUACGGCGCCAUCUGAAUACUGG
rnacentral:lncRNA from 1 species